rnacentral:lncRNA from 1 species
GCUCAAUUCACUGUCAUUUAGGAGUUAAAUCACUUUGUUUCUGUUUAUGCAGCCCUAGCCACACCUCCCCUGGCUAUGAUUGACAGAGCCUGCAUGAAAAAAAUAAACUGGUUUCACUUUCAAACAGAUGUAAUUUACCUUAAAUAAUUGUAUCUCAAUCUCUAAAUUGAACUUUAAUCACAUACAGGAGGCUCUUGCAGGGUCUAGCAAGCUAUUAACAUAGCAGGGGAUAAAAAAAUCUUAAUUAAACAGAACUUGC